GACGAACGCUGGCGGCGUGCUUAACACAUGCAAGUCGAACGGAAAGGCCCUGCUUUUGUGGGGUGCUCGAGUGGCGAACGGGUGAGUAACACGUGGGUAACCUGCUCCUUACUUUGGGAUAACUUCAGGAAACUGGGGCUACUAACGCCUAGGAGCUCCUACUGCCGGAUGGGGCUAGGAUAGUUUCGGCUGUUGGGGAUCGACGCGCGGGUUAUGAGCUUGUUGGGUGAGUUGGUGGGUACCAAGGCUGCGACGGAUAGGCGACCUGAGAGGGUUGACAGCCCCCAUGCGACUGAGAGAGGGCCCAGAAGGCUACGGGAGGCAGCAGGGGGGAAUAUGACACAGUGAGCGGAAGCGUGAGGCGGCAACGCCGCGUGCGUAAAGACGUCCUGCGGGGUGUAAACCGCUUUCGCCUGUGACGAAUCGUGAGUGACGGUAAUGGGUAAAGAAGCACCGGCUAACUACGUG
rnacentral:rRNA from 1 species